AUUAUUAUUUUCUUUUUUUCCUCAGAUUUUUUUCUCUCUCUCUCUUCUUUCCAUAGCCGCCCUCUUCCUCCACGUUAAUUGCGAUCUCUUCUCCAAAUCUCGGCCCUCUUCACCGAGGGUGAGAAAUCCCGCUCCACCGCCUCCCCAUCAUCACCGCAUCUGCCUGCCUCCUCGUCAUCCACCACAUCAGUCGUCGCCGCUCGUUCAUCUUCGUAGUUCCCCGACGGAAUCCGGCCGCUUUUCUCCCACUUCGAUUUGCAGAUGCCUGUAAUAAAAUCCGGCAGAAAAGGGCUUGACGUCAUCCGACGGGUCUACACAUUCUGAGGCCCAAUUCUCUAUCCGAUGGUAUUUGAUGGAGGUGCAGAGCACGCGCCACGUAGCACGUGAUAUCUUUAUCGAAAAACUUUAUGCCCAACCAUGCUUUCUCUUUCAUCUUUAUCAACAGUUGUACAGCUGAUUCAUUCCUCAUGUUUGCUUCCACCAUAACCUGGUGGAUAAUUAAGACUCUUCCUGAUUUACAGUUCUAGUGUUUCUGUUAUUUACAGUAUAUAAUCCCAAAAAUGAGUUCCUCUCUUUACACAUUCACAUAUGCUAGUGAUGUUGACGUUGAUAAUCAUAAAUCUAUUUCAAUUUUUAUAAUGAUUUUCUUGACGAAAUUGUUGAUGGGAGAAAGAAGAUGAUGAUUUUUUCCAAAUAGUGGUUUACGUUUCAAAUAACGAGAAAAAGAGAAAAGAUGAUUACACGGACUAUGCUCUAGGGUUCAUUGGAGAGAAGAUGGUGUCCUUUAUAGUGGUUUUAUAUUUUCUUUUUCGCAGAUUUUUUGAUGUUUUCUUGUUAUAAUUCAUAGUAAUUUUCGAUGUUUAUAUAGUUGUGUAUAUAAAGUGGUUUUCAUGUUUA